GAUGAACGCUGGCGGCGUGCCUAAUACAUGCAAGUCGAACGAGGUGCCUUUGUAGCAAUACGAAGGUAUCCUAGUGGCGAACGGGUGAGUAACGCGUUGGUGACCUACCCCAAAGUGUGGGAUAACAGAUCGAAAGAUCUGCUAAUACCGCAUGUGGUCUUCGGAUUUAGAAACUGAUGACUAAAGGAGCAAUUCGCUUUGGGAGGGACCUGCGUCCCAUCAGCUAGUUGGUGAGGUAAUGGCUCACCAAGGCUACGACGGGUAGGGGACCUGAGAGGGUGGCCCCCCCACAAUGGAACUGAAACACGGUCCAUACACCUACGGGAGGCAGCAGUGGGGAAUUUUGGACAAUGGGCGCAAGCCUGAUCCAGCCAUUCCGCGUGCAGGAUGAAGGCCUUCGGUUGUAAACUGCUUUGUACGGAACGAAACGGCGAGCUCUAAUACAGUUUGCUAAUGACGGUACCGUAAGAAUAAGCACCGGCUAACUACGUGCCAGCAGCCGC
rnacentral:rRNA from 1 species